rnacentral:rRNA from 1 species
GAGUUUGAUCCUGGCUCAGAACGAACGCUGGCGGCAGGCCUAAUACAUGCAAGUCGAGCGCGCCCUUCGGGGUGAGCGGCGGACGGGUUAGUAACGCGUGGGAACGUGCCCUUCUCUAAGGAAUAGCCACUGGAAACGGUGAGUAAUACCUUAUACGCCCCCCAAUCAAAUUCCAUUUGGUUGACGGAAAUUCUGUUGAAUGCCGGAUGGCAUUUGAUGGGGGGGAAAGAUUUAUCGGAGAAGGAUCGGCCCGCGUUAGAUUAGAUAGUUGGUGGGGUAAUGGCCUACCAAGUCUACGAUCUAUAGCUGGUUUUAGAGGAUGAUCAGCAACACUGGGACUGAGACACGGCCCAGACUCCUACGGGAGGCAGCAGUAGGGAAUCUUGGACAAUGGGCGCAAGCCUGAUCCAGCCACGCCGCGUGAGUGAAGAAGGCCUUAGGGUCGUAAAGCUCUUUCGCCUGUGAUGAUAAUGACAGUAGCAGGUAAAGAAACCCCGGCUAACUCCGUGCCAGCAGCCGCGGUAAUACGGAGGGGGUUAGCGUUGUUCGGAAUUACUGGGCGUAAAGCGCGCGUAGGCGGAUUGGAAAGUUAGAGGUGAAAUCCCGGGGCUCAACCCCGGAACGGCCUUUAAAACUCCCAGUCUAGAGUUCGAGAGAGGUGAGUGGAAUUCCAAGUGUAGAGGUGAAAUUCGUAGAUAUUUGGAGGAACACCAGUGGCGAAGGCGGCUCACUGGCUCGAUACUGACGCUGAGGUGCGAAAGUGUGGGGAGCAAACAGGAUUAGAUACCCUGGUAGUCCACACCGUAAACGAUGAAUGCCAGUCGUCGGAUAGUAUACUAUUCGGUGACACACCU